rnacentral:rRNA from 1 species
AGAGUUGAUCAUGGCUCAGGAUGAACGCUAGCGACAGGCUUAACACAUGCAAGUCGAGGGGCAGCAUAAAAGUAGCAAUACUUGGUGGCGACCGGCGCACGGGUGAGUAACGCGUAUGCAACCUACCUAUCAGAGGGGAAUAACCCGGCGAAAGUCGGACUAAUACCGCAUAAAACAGGGGCACCGCAUGGUGAUAUUUGUUAAAGAAAUUCGCUGAUAGAUGGGCAUGCGUUCCAUUAGGUAGUUGGUGAGGUAACGGCUCACCAAGCCGACGAUGGAUAGGGGAACUGAGAGGUUGGUCCCCCACACUGGUACUGAGACACGGACCAGACUCCUACGGGAGGCAGCAGUGAGGAAUAUUGGUCAAUGGGCGAGAGCCUGAACCAGCCAAGUCGCGUGAAGGAAGAAGGAUCUAUGGUUCGUAAACUUCUUUUGCAGGGGAAUAAAGUGCAGGACGUGUCCUGUUUUGUAUGUACCCUGAGAAUAAGGAUCGGCUAACUCCGUGCCAGCCGCAGC